GCGCGCGGCGGGCGGGGCGGGGGCACGGGGGGCCUACGGGAGGCAGCAGUGGGGAAUAUUGGGCAAUGGGGGCAACCCUGACCCAGCGACGCCGCGUGGGGGAAGACGGCCUUCGGGUUGUAAACGUCUAUAU
rnacentral:rRNA from 1 species